AUUGAACGCUGGCGGCAUGCCUUACACAUGCAAGUCGAACGGUAACGGGCCUUCGGGUGCCGACGAGUGGCGAACGGGUGAGUAAUGUAUCGGAACGUACCUUUCAGUGGGGGAUAACGUAGCGAAAGUUACGCUAAUACCGCAUAUUCUGUGCGCAGGAAAGCAGGGGAUCGCAAGACCUUGCGCUGAUUGAGCGGCCGAUAUCAGAUUAGCUAGUUGGUGAGGUAAAGGCUCACCAAGGCGACGAUCUGUAGCGGGUCUGAGAGGAUGAUCCGCCACACUGGAACUGAGACACGGUCCAGACUCCUACGGGAGGCAGCAGUGGGGAAUUUUGGACAAUGGGGGCAACCCUGAUCCAGCCAUGCCGCGUGAGUGAAGAAGGCCUUCGGGUUGUAAAGCUCUUUCGGCCGGGAAGAAAUCGCACGGGCUAAUACCCUGUGUGGAUGACGGUACCGGAAUAAGAAGCACCGGCUAACUACGUGCCAGCAGCCGCAGUAAUAC
rnacentral:rRNA from 1 species